rnacentral:misc_RNA from 1 species
GCAGGAAUCUUUAUGUUUUCUUCCUCUAAGAGCUCAGCAUAAACCUGAGCUUCUACCUUAUUUGGAACUGUUUCAAAUGCUAUGAGGUCAGCACCUGAUUCUGCCAAUACCUGAACCCUUCUGCGAUGAAAAUCUUUCAAGGUUUCCAAGGUAACUUCAUCACCAUAAUUCCCACUGUACUCGGAUCCAUCAGCCAAAUAUGCUCCAUAGCUGCCAACAGAAGCUGCAACUAAAAUGGGGCGCUGUUUCAGAACCCUA